AGCGUACGUUAGCGGCGGGCCUAACACAUGCAAGUCGAGCGAGAAAGUGGCUUCGGCCAUCAGUAAAGCGGCGGACGGGUGAGUAACACGUAGGUAAUCUUCCCUUGAGCGGGGGACAACGAGCCGAAAGGCUCGCUAAUACCGCAUACGUUUCUCGGGACUCUGGUCCUGGGAAGGAAAGCUAGGCAGCAAUGUCCGGCACUCGAGGAGGAGCCUGCGUCGCAUCAGCUAGUUGGUGGGGUAACGGCCUACCAAGGCGAAGACGCGUAGCUGGUCUGAGAGGGUGGUCAGCCACACUGGGACUGAGACACGGCCCAGACUCCUACGGGAGGCAGCAGUGGGGAAUAUUGGACAAUGGGCGCAAGCCUGAUCCAGCCACGCCGCGUGAGUGAUGAAGGCCUUCGGGUCGUAAAGCUCUGUGGGGAGGGACGAACCGCCGGAUGUGCAUAGCAUCCGGCAUGACGGUACCUCCUUAGCAAGCACCGGCUAACUUCGUGCCAGCCGCCGCCGUAACAC
rnacentral:rRNA from 1 species